CACUGAGUCCGUCUUUUGGGGUGCUUUUUGGUCACCCCCCCCGGAGGUGGCUCCCGGGUAUCUCUCCUUCUGGAUAAAGGUCCUGGACACCUGUCCUUCCAAGAGCCCGGCAUCUGUGCUGGAGAAGGGCAGCACAGAAUUCAUGCAGUUGCUACCCUCCAGGUGGUGGCUGCUCCCCGCCACCCCCUCAUGGGCCCUGCAUGCUACCUUCUCGCUCCCCAAAGCACCUGAUCAUCACCUGCUCCGGUGCACUCACACCCUGCAGUAGCUUCCAAAGAACCCAGUCCCAGCCAUCUGGUGUGGCCCUGCCCCAGCCUGCCCUCCUGACUCACUCCACUAAUGGGUUCUGGGAGACAGGAGCUACAGUGAGCAGUGAAGGAGGCCCUGGGUCGUGUCCAGAACAAGUGCUGUGUUUGAUCUCUAUCUCACACACGCAGAUCCAGAAGGGAGAUAGUGUGUGUGUGUGUGUAGUGUGUGUGCACUCAUUCAUUCCACAAAUAUUUACCUAGCCCCUUUGGCACUGUCCUAGAUGCUUGUGGGGGUGGGUAGGUGGGGACACAGCAGGAAUCUUGACCUUCCAUUGGAGGCCUGGACAGAUCUUCCGAAGACCCUCAUCAACUACUUGGAGAGGGAAGUUGUCCUUGUGGGGGGAGAGCUGCCCAGAGGAGACCCCAGUGCCAGGAGACCC